rnacentral:rRNA from 1 species
GGAAUAUUGGUCAAUGGACGCAAGUCUGAACCAGCCACGUCGCGUGAAGGAAGACGGCCCUACGGGUUGUAAACUUCUUUUAUACGGGAAUAAAGUGCCCCACGCGUGGGGUUUUGCAAGUACCGUACGAAUAAGGAUCGGCUAACUCCGUGCCAGCAGCCGCGGUAAUACGGAGGAUCCGAGCGUUAUCCGGAUUUAUUGGGUUUAAAGGGUGCUCAGGCGGGGGAUUAAGUCGGCGGUGAAAUUUUGCAGCUCAACUGUAAAAGUGCCUUCGAAACUGGUUUCCUUGAGUGCGGAUGAGGUAGGCGGAAUUUGUGGUGUAGCGGUGAAAUGCAUAGAUAUCACGAGGAACUCCGAUUGCGCAGGCAGCUUACCAAGCCGUAACUGACGCUCAAGCACGAAGGCGUGGGGAUC